UGGGGAAUAUUGGACAAUGGGGGGAACCCUGAUCCAGCCAUGCCGCGUGUGUGAAGAAGGCCUUAUGGUUGUAAAGCACUUUAAGCGAGGAGGAGGGUACUGGUAUUAAUACUACCAGGUACUGGACGUUACUCGCAGAAUAAGCACCGGCUAACUCUGUGCCAGCAGCCGCGGUAAUACAGAGGGUGCGAGCGUUAAUCGGAUUUACUGGGCGUAAAGCGUGCGUAGGUGGUUCGUUAAGUUGAAUGUGAAAGCCCCGGGCUCAACCUGGGAACUGGAUCCAAAACUGGCGAGCUAGAGUAGGGCAGAGGGUGGAGGAAUUUCCUGUGUAGCGGUGAAAUGCGUAGAUAUAGGAAGGAACACCAGUGGCGAAGGCGACCACCUGGGCUCAUACUGACACUGAGGUGCGAAAGCGUGGGGAGCAAACAGG
rnacentral:rRNA from 1 species